GAUCCUCAGAAAGACAUAUGAGGGUUUUCCUCAGAACCUAAAUUCUCAUAGCAACAGCAGCGUAGCUGAACAUCUUACGGAUGGCCCAGGGCUCCAAAGGCUCGUUUCCUAAGUGAGAGAGAGCCUGGCUGAAGCUGUAUUACCAUUCAUUCUCCAGCCUCCGAAGUCUCAAAGCAUCACUUCCACCAUACUCUAACUGUCAAGACAAACACAAAGGCCCAGAAACUGCCAGACUGUCUUCUGAAGUGGCUAUAAUAUUUACACUCCCAUCAGCAGUGUAGAAGGGGUCUCACUAUGUUGUCUGGAGUGCUGUGGUGGAGUGGAGUGGCUAUUCACAGCUGAGUUUGCAGAGUAAACCACUACCCUGAAAUCUGGAAAGGCAGGUGCACCCACAGAUCCUCAGCUGAGAUCCAAUUACCUGAAAUAGAAGCUGCCAUUAGGAACACUUAAAAG
rnacentral:lncRNA from 10 species